AUUCAUAACCCCAAAAACCGGUCUCCGAGCUUUGUGCCGCAGCAAGGAGGAAGGAGAAGUUCGUGGAUGCACCUGCUGUCCAAGUUGGAGUGUCUAGGUGUUCUCUUUCUUUGGAUUUCAAUGUCUAAAUUUAUUUAUCUUUGCUUUGUGCGUAUGAGGAACUAAACCCCCCUUGGCUAGGGGGAUUCGAAACCAUGUUUAUGCUUGCUGUAUGAUUUGAUUACUUUCAAUUGUGUUUCAUAAGUUGUGACUUCAAUUUGCUCAUCUAUAUGAAUUAAAACUGAUUUGUGUGUGUUGGUUGAGAGCGCACGCUUAAUUUUCAUGCAUAAAUCUGAUGCUAGGAUAUAAGGGAGUUUCACCUAAUCGUUAUGCACUUAUAUUCACAAGUAGUAAAUGUUGUUAAUCACAAUCGCAUUAAGUAGAUUCUUGGCAUAAGUUUCAUGCGCUUUCAUAGUUACGAGUGCCUCGUCAAUACUUAUGAUUUUCAUUGAACGUAAUGAUCUUUGAUUGUAUCUCUAUUAUGCGCUUUCAUGUAGGGAGCUUUUAAGGAAUAAUUUGAUUGCGAUGCGCUUUUUCCAUCCAAUUCAUUGACAUAAGGGAAAUCUGAAAGUUAAUUUAAGCGUAUCUAAUUAACUUGGGGUGUUGAGAAUUCAUAGUUUAUUGAAAAGCAAUUGGAAAUCGUUUUGUAUGCAAGUGUGACAUGUGUGGAGAAGAACCCCUUAGCUAGCUUUCCAUCCAUUGACUUUAAUCAAAUUCGUUUUAAAAUCUGUUUUAGUUUACAAAGUUUUGUUUUGUUUUCAAUUUCGUCAAAAUCAAAUCCCCCUUUAUUUUGAAGUGUUAGAUUAUUUAGAAAUCAAUUUAGUUUGUGUUUUUAAG
rnacentral:lncRNA from 1 species